rnacentral:rRNA from 1 species
CGAUGCAACGCGAAAACCUUACCUACCCUUGACAUGUCCGGAAUCCUGCAGAGAUGCGGGAGGUGGCCCGAAAGGGAAUCGGAACACAGGUGCUGCAUGGCUGUCGUCAGCUCGUGUCGUGAGAUGUUGGGUUAAGUCCCGCAACGAGCGCAACCCUUAUCAUUAGUUGCUACGCAAGGGCACUCUAAUGAGACUGCCGGUGACAAACCGGAGGAAGGUGGGGAUGACGUCAAGUCCUCAUGGCCCUUAUGGGUAGGGCUUCACACGUCAUACAAUGGUCGGUACAGAGGGUUGCCAAGCCGCGAGGUGGAGCCAAUCCCAGAAAGCCGAUCGUAGUCCGGAUUGUUCUCUGCAACUCGAGAGCAUGAAGUCGGAAUCGCUAGUAAUCGCGGAUCAGCAUGUCGCGGUGAAUACGUUCCCGGGUCUU